rnacentral:tRNA from 1 species
AGUAGCUCAAUUGGCAGAGCAGUUGAUUCCAAAUCAACAGGUUGGGGGUUCGAGUCCUCCCUG